UACACUCCUGCGGGAGGCAGCAGUGGGGAAUUUUGGACAAUGGGCGAAAGCCUGAUCCAGCAAUGCCGCGUGAGUGAAGAAGGCCUUCGGGUUGUAAAGCUCUUUUGUCAGGGAAGAAACGGUGAGAGCUAAUAUCUCUUGCUAAUGACGGUACCUGAAGAAUAAGCACCGGCUAACUACGUGCCAGCAGCCGCGGUAAUACGUAGGGUGCAAGCGUUAAUCGGAAUUACUGGGCGUAAAGCGUGCGCAGGCGGUUUUGUAAGUCUGAUGUGAAAUCCCCGGGCUCAACCUGGGAAUUGCAUUGGAGACUGCAAGGCUAGAAUCUGGCAGAGGGGGGUAGAAUUCCACGUGUAGCAGUGAAAUGCGUAGAUAUGUGGAGGAACACCGAUGGCGAAGGCAGCCCCCUGGGUCAAGAUUGACGCUCAUGCACGAAAGCGUGGGGAGCAAACAGGAUUAGAAACCCGUGUAGUCCC
rnacentral:rRNA from 1 species